GAUUGAACGCUGGCGGCGUGCCUAACACAUGCAAGUCGAGCGGUAACAGGUGUAGCAAUACAUGCUGACGAGCGGCGAACGGGUGAGUAGUGCUUCGGAAUCUACCCAAUGGUGGGGAAUAACCAGCCGAAAGGUUGGCUAAUACCGCAUACGUCCCACGGGAGAAAGCAGGGGAUCGCAAGACCUUGCGCCAAUGGAUGAGCCGAAGUCGGAUUAGCUAGUUGGAGGGUAACGGCCUACCAAGGCGACGAUCCGUAGCUGGUCUGAGAGGACGACCAGCCACACUGGGACUGAGACACGGCCCAGACUCCUACGGGAGGCAGCAGUGGGGAAUAUUGGACAAUGGGGGAAACCCUGAUCCAGCGACGCCGCGUGUG
rnacentral:rRNA from 1 species